UACGUAGGGUGCAAGCGUUGUCCGGAAUUAUUGGGCGUAAAGAGCUCGUAGGUGGCCUGUCGCGUCGGCUGUGAAAACUCGGGGCUCAACUCCGAGCUUGCAGUCGAUACGGGCAGGCUAGAGUUCGGCAGGGGAGACUGGAAUUCCUGGUGUAGCGGUGAAAUGCGCAGAUAGUCGGGAGGAACACCGGUGGCGAAGGCGGUUCUCUGGGCCUUACCUGACGCUGAGGAGCGAAAGCGUGGGGAGCGAACAGG
rnacentral:rRNA from 1 species